CAGAGGAAGGUUGUUUGGGGAGCUCAGCCCAGCACAUGGUGGGGAUGGUGAGGCUAUCUUUACCUAGGGGGCAGAGGAAUGGGACAACGGGGGGGUGGGAGCACAGCCAGCCAUAGAGAGCAAAGGGACAUGGAGGAUUUUGCAUAGAAUGUUUUCAGUACCAUUUCAAUUUGACCUGGCCCCAUUGGCUGCUGCCUGAUCCCCAGGGCCCGAAGGCCCCAGGGGUUGCUGUCUGAUCGCUUGGCUCAAGAGAACGAGUGCCUUCAUUAAAAACAACGCUGGUCAGCUGCCUCAGCCCAGAGGAGAGGAACAAAAAGCAGCAGAGAAGGUGAAGAGGGAAGGAUGAGGCCCAGCUGCUCAGCACUGCCGUGCAGAGCCAGCGCAUUGACGCUACCCAUAAUGCACUUGCAUCAGCUACUCUCCCAGCACCACCAAUCCCUGCACCCUGUAGAAUGGUGGCAGCUGCUACGACCAGCAGCACUCCUCCUAGUGGGAAGGGCGGAGCCUCCUCACCAUUGGCAGCAGCUGGCCCCCCAUGCAGCCGGAUCAAAACUAGCAUCUAAGGAGCCAGAAGAUGUAUGACUAAUGUGUGUGUAGGGGGAGGCCUCGGCAGACAGGGACAAUACUGUAGUAACCAGGGAGAGGGGAGGGCUUGGAGGUCUUUUCUUCCAUCAAAGCUUGGAGCUUUCUUCCAGCCAAGGAGAUUGAGAGAAAGAAUGCAAGACAAUAAACUUUCUCCCUGGGUUGUAAACUUUGCCCUCCAAUGCAGGCUAAAGAGACUGGGCUGCUUUUUACAAAGCGCAGUGUGUACUCAGUGAGAAAGGGAGAGGGAGAGAAAGGAAGGUCAAGGCCCCUUCAGAGUCUGGCCUGCCCAGGCUUGCCUGGGAGAGCAUGAUUUUCAAACACUGCAGCUUGCAGCCUGGCCUCUUUCUCUCCCAUAGAUCCCAUUGCUUCAAUCUGUUCCCGGGGAUGUGGUGCGUUUGCCCCCCACUCACACACAAAUGCUACAGUGAAUUGCAAAACUAACUAGCCAAAUGGGAAAGUGGGGGAGUGAUUUGUUUAUUUAGCCAGGCAGGCUCCCAGUGAAGCUUGGGACAUCUCUGUAAGGGCUAAAAGGCUGUUUGCCAGUUUGACAAGCUGCUGCCCAUGCCAAUACACUUGCAAAGAAAACUGCAACACAUGUCCUGAUGGCAGCAACACCAUCUAGCAUAUCCUAUAGGUGCUGCCCAGAACAGGGCCAGACCUGGACUCCCCCCCUCCAGCCUUCUCUGCCCAGAGUCCUGCUGAAAUCAAUGGUGUUACACCAUGUUGGCUCAAUGACUCUUCUACUGUUCUAUCUCUCUCUUCUUAAACUGUUACAGCCUCCUGGUAUCUGGUCAUCUGCCUUUUCACCUCCUCACUCUCUCCUUAUGUCUCUCCUUUACUAUCUUUCUUGUGUUUCUCUUCUCUUCUCUUCCCCUUCCUU